UACGGAGGGUGCAAACGUUGCUCGGAAUCAUUGGGCGUAAAGCGAACGUAGGCGGCAUUGUAAGUCGGGUGUGAAAGCCCUCGGCUCAACCGAGGAAGUGCAUUCGAAACUGCAACGCUUGAGUGUCGGAGAGGAUAGCGGAAUUCCCGGUGUAGAGGUGAAAUUCGUAGAUAUCGGGAGGAACACCAGUGGCGAAGGCGGCUAUCUGGACGAACACUGACGCUGAAGUUCGAAAGCGUGGGGAGCAAACAG
rnacentral:rRNA from 1 species